AUGGCAUCGUUUGGAUGGAAAAUUCCAGCUUUUUUGUUUAUAUUUGCUAUUAUUUUUAAAAAUAAAAGGAUUUUCAACUCAUUCAGGAAAAUCGUCGAACACUUUCAGUACCGUCGCAGGCCACUCUCUUUCUUCUGGCGUCCAUUUUCAACUCAUUCCCCGCAACCAGCGAACCAAGACCCUCGUUCCAUAAUGAAACAAGACCCAUUCGAAAUAUGCACUUCUCUAAGGCUUUCAUUACUAGUAUCAGGCAGUGCUGCAAGUUGUUCCAUUUCAAGACUCAUCCAUGAGAUCAAUGUUAACGGAACCGGACGGCAUUUGUUUAUACUUUUCAUUCUUGAACUGAUCAAGCUCAGUAAUUAGUGCAGAUGCCCAUGAAUCAUAACAACUUAACUCACACAAAUCCUUCUCCGCACCGCCGCCGCCGCUCUCCUCUGAUCCUUCGCUCCCGAAUCUUCGCCAAGAUCUGGUACGGGAACAAUUCUUCUUUCCACGUAGAUUAUCUCCAAUGCACAAUUUCUUCAAGAAUCCGUUUCUUCAUUUUAAGAAACUCACUACGGAACUGGCGUUGAAGAUGCACUUACAUUUCUUUUGCUUUCCCUAAUCUAGUUAGUGACUGGUAUUAGUUUUUUUUUUACUGAAAUAUCAAAAUAAUUCUUACUAAUUUAGUCACAUAGCUUCCAUAAUUUGAAAUACCCAAAUCCUCUAGGCCAGUUUGCAAAAACCAAAACUGUUAGGGAGGUUGGUGUUUGUUGUUCUGAUAUGUGAAGGGAUGUCCAGAAGAGACGUCCUCCAAAGGUGGAUUGUGCGUGUGAUGGUCGUUGGUGUCGGUGGUGGUGGUGAUUGUCAUCGGUGUUUGGUGACGGUUCUCAUCCAAGAGUGGGUUGCACGUGGUCUAUGGUGGUCAUUGGUUUUGGUGGUGGUUGUCAUGUAAAUACUGAUUGUGUAAAAGUUUGUCUAAACACUGGUUUGUGUUCACUUAUUUAAAUAGUGUGAUUUUCUAUUUUUUAAUUGGGUUUUUUGAUUUUAAUAUUGUGAAGAUGAUUUUAAUUAGGAAUCAUUUUUGCUGUGGGAAUCAUUGUGUGAUGUUGACAUUACUAUUUUGUUUUGGGACUA